rnacentral:rRNA from 1 species
GAUGAACGCUGGCGGCGUGCCUAGUACAUGCAAGUCGAGCGAACAGACGAGGAGCUUGCUCCUCUGACGUUAGCGGCGGUCGGGUGAGUAACACGUGGAUAACCUACCUAUAAGACUGGGAUAACUUCGGGAAACCGGAGCUAAUACCGGAUAAUAUAUUGAACCGCAUGGUUCAAUAGUGAAAGACGGUUUUGCUGUCACUUAUAGAUGGAUCCGCGCCGCAUUAGCUAGUUGGUAAGGUAACGGCUUACCAAGGCAACGAUGCGUAGCCGACCUGAGAGGGUGAUCGGCCACACUGGAACUGAGACACGGUCCAGACUCCUACGGGAGGCAGCAGUAGGGAAUCUUCCGCAAUGGGCGAAAGCCUGACGGAGCAACGCCGCGUGAGUGAUGAAGGUCUUCGGAUCGUAAAACUCUGUUAUUAGGGAAGAACAAAUGUGUAAGUAACUAUGCACGUCUUGACGGUACCUAAUCAGAAAGCCACGGCUAACUACGUG